ACGCGCUAGAGACGUAAAGAUACACGCACCAGGUACUUAUACUGCAGUUUGCCUGGCGAAGGGCGUGCUGAAAGGCCAGCGAAUACCAACAAAAAUUGGUCAUUAUCAAGAGAAACGAUAGUGUCUCGUGCCAAGUGUACGCACUACAGACGUAAGGAUACACGCACCAGGUACUUAUACUCCAAGUGUGGUUGCAGUUUUCCUGACAAAGGAUGUGCUGAAAAGCCAGCGAAUACGUAAAUAGUUAGCACUGCAAAGAAAAUGGCACACGAGUUUCUCGCUUG